rnacentral:lncRNA from 1 species
AGCGUCCCCUUCCCCCACUGUCGGGUUUCUCCGCGGCUACUGCAGAGGAUUCAGAUCCGAGUAGCUGAAGAGAAGGAGGAGGAGGCUCCGGUCCCUGCGCGCCAUCCACCACCCUACUGGACACGGACGAGGGAACGAGAGCGUCGCCGCUGUAGCCUUCAGAGAAGACAAGGGCAUCGCCGCUUCUGCUGCCGCCGCCGCGGUUUUCGUCUGCAGCAGCUCGCCGGUGAGUUGCCAUAGUCUUCACAGCAGUGGAAACCAAGACGGAUACCUUCCCACCCUUUCUUCAACUUCAAGCUUCUGUGAUGACUUGUGAUACCGUCACUUCUUCAUCCAUGAAUCCAUUAUUGCCUCAGUGAGGAGGGCAACUAUAGAUUUAGGGCAACAUUUAGGGCAGGUUCAGGGGUGCAUUUUGUAAUCCUAAAGCUCUACUCAAGAGGCUGAGGCAAAGUGAUUGUGAACUUGAGACCAACUUCACAUACAUGAUGUGUUGUCUUCUAGCCUGGUUUAUGUAGCAAAACUGUAUCUCUUGCUUUUUAUAUGUACAUGUGUGUGUAUAUAUAUGUAUGCAUAUAUAUGUAUACAUGUAUGUAUGUAUGUAUGUAUGUAUAAACAAAUAAAAAAAUUUCUGCCUCCUG